rnacentral:rRNA from 1 species
GAUCCUGGCUCAGAUUGAACACUGGCGGCAGGCCUAACACAUGCAAGUCGAACGGUAACAGGAAACAGCUUGCUGUUUUCGCUGACGAGUGGCGGACGGGUGAGUAAUGUCUGGGAAACUGCCUGAUGGAGGGGGAUAACUACUGGAAACGGUAGCUAAUACCGCAUAACGUCGCAAGACCAAAGAGGGGGGACCUUCGGGCCUCUUGCCAUCGGAUGUGCCCAGAUGGGAUUAGCUAGUAGGUGGGG